ensembl:snRNA U6 U6 spliceosomal RNA
GUGCUCACUUCAGCAGCACAUAUACUAAAUUUGGAACAAUACAGAGAAGAUUAGCAUGGCCCCUGCGCAAGGAUGAUACCCAAAUUUGUGAAACAUCUAUCAUUCAU